rnacentral:rRNA from 1 species
AAUAGAUACCCAGGUAGUCCUGGCCCUAAACGAUGAAUGCUUGGUGUAGCGGGUAUCGAUCCCUGCUGUGCCGAAGCUAACGCAUUAAGCAUUCCGCCUGGGGAGUACGGUCGCAAGGCUGAAACUCGAAAGGAAUUGACGGGGGCCCGCACAAGCGGUGGAGCAUGUGGUUCAAUUCGACGCAACGCGAAGAACCUUACCCAGGCUUGAACUGCGAGUGACAUCCGGCGAAAGUCGGCUUCCGCAAGGACACUCGUAGAGGUGCUGCAUGGCUGUCGUCAGCUCGUGUCGUGAGAUGUUGGGUUAAGUCCCGCAACGAGCGCAACCCUUGUCCUCUGUUGCCAUCAGGUUACGCUGGGCACUCUGAGGAGACUGCCGGUGAUAAACCGGAGGAAGGUGGGGAUGACGUCAAGUCAGCAUGGCCUUUAUGUCUGGGGCUACACACGUGCUACAAUGGCAGAUACAAACCGUCGCGAGACCGCAAGGUGGAGCUAAUCGGAGAAAGUCU